CGAGUAGACCAUGUGGCGGCGCGCGAGGCUCGAAAGGGCCCGCGUGAGGAAAGUCCGGGCUCCAUCGGGCAAGGGUAACUGCUAACGGCAGCCGAAGGCGACUUUAGGGAAAGUGCAACAGAAAGAAACCGCCGGGGUCCCCCCCGGCAAGGGUGGAAAGGCGAGGUAAGAGCUCACCAGCGCACAGGAGACUGUGCGGCUCUGUAAACCCUACCCGGAGCAACACCGCACAGAGGGCAGAUGGGCGCCCGACCCGUCCUCGACAAGGUGGCUAGAGCUGCGCGGCGACGCGCAGUCGAGAUAGAUCGUCACACAUGACAGAACCCGGCUUAUGGUUUAGUCGCUUG
rnacentral:RNase_P_RNA from 1 species